CAGUCGCCGCGGUAAUACAGAGGGUGCGAGCGUUAAUCGGAUUUACUGGGCGUAAAGCGUGAGUAGGCGGCUUCUUAAGUCGGAUGUGAAAUCCCUGAGCUUAACUUAGGAAUUGCAUUCGAUACUGGGAAGCUAGAGUAUGGGAGAGGAUGGUAGAAUUCCAGGUGUAGCGGUGAAAUGCGUAGAGAUCUGGAGGAAUACCGAUGGCGAAGGCAGCCAUCUGGCCUAAUACUGACGCUGAGGUACGAAAGCAUGGGGAGCAAACAGGAUUAGAUACCCCAGUAGUCCCUGUCUCUUAUAA
rnacentral:rRNA from 1 species